rnacentral:rRNA from 1 species
GACGAGGGGUCCAAGCGUUGUUCGGAAUCAUUGGGCGUAAAGCGGGUGUAGGCGGCUCUAUAAGUCAGAAGUGAAAGCCCCGAGCUUAACUUGGGAAGUGCUUUUGAUACUGCAGAGCUUGAAUGUGGGAGAGGGUAGUGGAAUUCCAGGUGUAGUGGUGAAAUGCGCAGAUAUCAGGAGGAACACCAAUGGCGAAGGCAGCACUCUGGGACGUGACUGACGCUGAGACGCGAAAGCGUGGGGAGCAAACAGG